UACGGAGGGUGCAAGCGUUAUCCGGAAUCACUGGGCGUAAAGGGCGCCUAGGUGGUCUGUUAAGUCUGGCGUUAAAGCCUGGGGCUCAACCCCAGAUCAGCGUUGGAUACUGGCAGGCUAGACGGUUGGAGAGGCGAGUGGAAUUACCAGUGUAGCGGUGGAAUGCGUAGAUACUGGUAGGAACACCCAUUGCGAAGGCAGCUCGCUGGACAACACGUGACACUGAGGCGCGAAAGUGUGGGGAGCAAACCGGAUUAGAUACCCCGGUAGU
rnacentral:rRNA from 1 species